UGACAUCUAAAUGUCAUACCCACUUUUGGUAUAGUUUGCUAUUGGUAAAAAAAAAAUAUCAGGGGAAGGCGAGCAAAUGGUUUUGGAUCUGACAGUCCACCUCACAUGCCUCUCAAAGUCACUUAAGAAGUACCUAAACAGUGGGAGAUUAAGUUUGACCCUUAUUCACCAGGAGUGCAGCGAUCUGCCCCUACGAAGAAACCACCCACAUAAGGACGACCCUGGAGAGCACCACAAAACCCAACUGGCUUCCAAAUUACUGGGCUCGCCUGGAGACAGGCGAACUGGCGAGAUAAUACUGCUAGGGAGGGAAAAUAAAGCACGACAACAAUCCACACAGGGCUUGGUAUCUUUUUUUUAAGCAGUCUCUAAAAGCUACCAUCACCGAGGUGCUCCAUUAUGCUUGAUUCCAACCCAGACAUCUACUCUAGCCAGAAAAUGGAGUAACUUCCCUCUUUGAAAAAUGAUAUCAGCCUCCACUCGGCACAGAAUCUCCACUUCCCCUCCAUUACUACUGAGAUUCCAAAUCAGCAGGCAAAUUAACACAGGAAUUAAAAAAAAAAAG